GCUGCAGACGAGCAGUGCGCCGCAAACAUGCACCCUCUCCAAAGAGGAAAAGACAGGAAGAGCGAGCACCAUGAGCGGAUUUCACAGCUGAAAUCUCUUCACGGUGAACACACUGACAACUACAUGUGUGACAAACUCUGGUAGAAAAGGAAAAAAAGGAAGCGAAAAGAGAAAAGAGCGGAAUGUUGGCUGAGAAGCAAACCGGGAAGGGAAGGAGGACGACGCUGUGAGAACGGAUCUUUCCUGCGAGGCUUCAAACCACCUCAGCGCUCCACGGGAGGAGAGGGACGGGAAGAACCGAAGCAGAGGAGGGGGGUAAAAAUGCUCAAAGUUUGGCCGUGUCGUGGACAACAGCUGCAGAAAAUGAGCAUCAUUUAAACGAAGAAUGCAUGUCGUUUGGGAUAUAUGUGUGAUUCUGCAAACAUACAUCAUCUGCACUUCAUCAGGUAAGGAGGCAAAGGGAACUCUCAUCUCUCAGAACAUCACAACAAAUAUCAGGGAAAAUCGGAAAUACACCAAGAAAAUGUAGCUAAUGGAAAUGUCCCAGUAGAAUGAAGAUAGAAGCUGCAGAUCUGUUGUAUAAUUAUUCUGAUGACUUCCAUUGUUUCAUUGAGGAUGCUGAUCAUCCUAAGAUUUAUACUGAGGAUGCUCAGUCAGAUGAAUCACUGCCUACUCAUUUGUGUGUUCUUUACAGUAUUUAUGAGUCAACACGCUCUUUGGGUCCGUGUAUAUUUUGCCAAUUGGAUUUUCCGUUCUGAAACGGGUAUUGAAAAACAAAAAACAAGCGCACAGCAAAAAUUGGAGUGAUGAAAUUUCAGGGUUAAACAUAUCAGAGUUGAUUUCAACUCUCAAAGUGUUUUUUUUUAACACAUUCUGAUUCAAAUGGUGUUCAGUGUUGGAGUUAUUUAACAGAGUUAGCCAAGCCCAAAAGUUAAGGCCCCUGGGCUUCAGCCCUGUAAACCCCGUGCGUCAAUUAAUCGUCUGCUCAGCUGUGUGUCUUCCAUGUUCUGCGGCUGCUGCUGGUUUUACAGACGGAUCAGUUUUGGGAAGAGUUUUAUACAGACGGUAAGUUAAGUAAAUCAAAAUUAUGGGAACAGUAAUAUUAAAUGAAACGCAGUAUUUAAAAUGAAAAAUCUACGGAGAAUUAUGCUACUUUUCUAAGCUUUUGUGUUGCUGGUACUGAAGUUCGGUAACUGAACAGUUAAUGCUAAUGUGUUUAACAUUAACAUUAGCUAGUUUUUAAAUUUUUUUUAUUUUAGCUAACAGUCAGACAUUAACACGCGGUUUCCUGCGUUUUUCAUUGCAAUUUACCAAGUCUCAUAUAUGUCUGAAGUCGUGUAAAACAAAUUAGUUAGCAAAGUUAAUGUUAGUUAUUGUGUGUUGUUUUGGACUUAACAGCAUGGGCAGCCACAACUCAAGUUACUCAAGUAUAAUUGCAUUUUAUAAAGCAACCUAGCUUUACUCAAUCACUACACCACUUUGCAGAGGUAAAUAAAUAUUGUAGUAACUAAUUAUAAUCCACCUCUGGUAAGUCAAAUAGUGCUGCUCUUCAGCUUCAGAGUGAGUCGUCAGCUGGUAAACUUCGAGUGAAGGAGGUAAGUCUGAAUAGUCAUGUUAGCAGUGUUAGCAUGCCCGCUCGCUCUUUCUUUCAGAUUAUUUCCUGCUCUUUUACGGAAGGCUCACCUGAACAUUUAGCAGACUUAGUGUUUACACCAUUGACUGCCUUGACUGCUACAUGGUUCACACAUACAGCCUCAUUCUGGAAUCCACUGCAUGUGUGUCAAAAGCUUCAAUACUGUUUACAGUGUAUAGCAUGGCCGAUACUGGCUUACUGUGUUUAUAUGAGUGUUUUUAAUAAUUUUAGCUUGAAUCGCUUCAGUUGUUUACUAUCAAAUGCUUAUUACUCUCAUUUUCAUUUUUUUUUUUUUUUUUUGUAUGUCUCAGCAAAAUGCUGGUCCAGGUUCGGUACUGCCAACAGCAGAAGUAUGUGAAGGUGGAUGAUGUCGAUGGACAGUUGGAUUUCAUGCGGUUCCAUGAAAAAGAGUUUUCUGAUUGCACCUUGUCCUCUCCAUCUGAGUGGUCUGACUCGAGCUUCAGUUCAAGUGCAAGUGCAUCAACUAUACUUCUAGAUGAGGUCCCUAGGAAGAAAUCAAGAAUUGAAGGCACAAUUAAUGCAGCGUCUGCUAAAAAGUUGAUCGAAGCUGUACUUGGAACCAGUUCAGGUGGUGAAGAGAAAGAUUCGACGAGGAUCUGCACCUCCAAAUAGCUGCACUGGCUUUUCUCGAGGAGGAGGGGGCCCUAAUUUCCAAAGAUCCAUUGUUGUUGAGAAGCAGCUUGACGGAGAUGCUUGCCAGGAGGCCAUCUCUUUGCUCAACCAUACAACAGACACUUCCUUAAUUCUCCAAAAGAUGAGAGAGACCUUUCAGUAUCAUCAGAACCUUAUCAAUGACCCUGACAAAAGUCUUGAUAUCCUGUCCAUCUUCCCAAGAUUCCUGGAUACAAAAGGAUUGGUGAAUCAAGACUUCACUCUCCUGUUUGAUGAUGAGGUAUCCACCAGGCUGCUUCAGAAAUGGGAUCCGGUCUUCAGUUGUAACGUCAUCAAAGAGGCCAAGCAGCUCACCUCAACACCAGAGCUGCAUCAGUUGGUGCAGUCAGCAGAGAUUCCACCAGGAAGUGAUGAGGCAACAUAUGAGUUUUGCUCUAUAGAAUUUGCUAU